rnacentral:rRNA from 1 species
AGCUCCAAUAGCGUAUAUUAAAGUUGUUGCAGUUAAAAAGCUCGUAGUUGGAUCUGAGGAUUAGAGCCACAGGUUGGUCGUUAGGCUACACUUGUGGCUCAGCCUACAUAGUCGGUGAUUGUUUUGGUUCUCUUUAUUGAGUGCCUUAAUUGCCCGUCCACGUUUACUUUGAAAAAAUUGGAGUGCUCAAAUCAGGCCCAUUGCCUGAACAGAUGUGCAUGGAAUAAUGGAAAAGGACUUCGGUUCUAUUUUGUUGGUUUUAGGAACACGAAGUAAUGAUUAAGAGGGACAGACGGGGGCAUUCGUAUUGCGGUGGGAGAGGUGAAAUUCUUGGAUCAUCGCAAGACGCCCUACAGCGAAAGCAUUUGCCAAGAAUGUUUCCAUUAAUCAAGAACGAAAG